rnacentral:tRNA from 1 species
CAGGAAAUAGUUUAUUGAGAAUGCCAGCUUUGGGUGCUGGUGGUAGGAUUUUUAGUCCUUUUCUUGA